CCGCUCCGCUCCCUCGCCUUCUCCUCCGCCAGGUCCCGCUCCCUCCUCCACCUCCUCGCCUUCUCCCUCUCCUCUUCCCAAUCGCCUUCCCCGUCCCGUUCCCCUUCCCCCACCGCCGCGGCCCCCAACCAUGCCCACCAGGCCUAGCAGAAGCGCUGCGCGGGAGCAGGGGAAGCUGACGGAGCACUGGGAGAUGGUGGUCAGCGCGUUGCCGUUUGGCUCGUUCCUCGCGCUGGGGUGGAGGUCAGCGGAGCAGCAGCGCGAGGGCCUGGAAAUCCAUCCACUUCCGCAUCUGCUCCAGCGACAGGGCCGAGGCGGUCCUCUCCCUCCUUCGACGGCACGGCUUCCCGGAUGCGCACAUCACCCGUUUGCUCCGCAUCGACUCGCGCAUACAUCUGCACCUGGGAGGCGGCGGCGGGGAUGAGGCUGCUGUCAAACUGGGUGGUGCGGUCGGAGAUCAGGCCCAGCGACCACAUCUGCACCUGGGAGGCGGCGACGGUGAUGGCGACGGCGCCAAGCGAGAUGGAGGCAUCCUCCCUCUGCUUCAGCCCCGCAGGGCAGCUCCGGGUCGGAACGAAGCUUGACAAGGGGGCGAUGAGCACGACCACGGCGGCGGUACCUCAUCGCCUCUUCCCAAAGCAACGGCGCCUCCCUCUCCUCAGAUCCGCCACCGUCCCCCUCACCUCAGCUCGCAGAAAUGACAGGCGUGGUCAGAUCCACGGGUUCGAUGCUGAGGUAAUGCCCCGCGGAUCCCGAUCCCCACCUGGCCUUGGCCCCAGACGCUAAUUCUUGCUGCUGGCUGUGCGCGGUUGGGCUAGUUCUUGCGUGCUGCAAGCUCGAUUGAGGGGUUUGAGCUGAGGCAGGCCUUUCUCGAGCUCGCGCAGAUGGACCUUGGCCAUCAGAGCUGCUAAAUUUGGGUGCUUAUUUCCGUGUGGUUGCUUGUAAAAUGCAGGGUAGUAGUACUAGUAGCUUGCCUAGCCAUGAUUUCAUAAUUUAUAGUAUACCAUGAUACUGUGAUGUUGGGUGUUUUAGUGGAGUAUUGUGUAAUAUAACAUCGUAGAUUCCGGAAUGGAUCAUCUCUAACUGCAAUUCAAGGCCCAGGUGGCAUGUUUUAGCUAUGACAGAUAGUUUGCAGAUGGAGGAAAGCAAGAUAUGAUUUAUAUAUUCAGAUAUGGCAAGUGUUUGUUGUAUUGCAACUGUUGCUUUUGCCUUUAAUAUCUUACCUUCUGAGAUGUUGUGCUCUUUAUAAUGUAUAUGACAGGUUCGACUGUGCUGAGAAAAGACCUCUGGCAACAUUUAUGCAAUGAAAAAACUCAAGAAUUCUGAUAGGGUUGUCUGGGGCCAUAUCAUCAGCAGUGGAGAGGAAAUGCCCCUGAGUUUCUUUACUUGGAUUCGGUUGGUGCCAUGCUGCUGGAUGUGGCAUUCGUGUGCUUAAUUUGUGGAAGAAGUAAAUGUAUAUUUGUGAUGUGUACUGUUGCUAUCAAAUUAAUGUAUCUAUGUAAUUCUUUGAAAUAUGCAAAUUUUGAGAUCUGUACAAUGAGCUUGUUGUUGUAAUUGGGCCUAAAAUAAUAUUUUCUUAAAUGGGUCGCCUUAAAA